CUUGUAUAACUAGAACUUACACAUUCGGUGGUAUAUCCUAUCGUACGCGAGCAAUUCCCUACUGUGUUUCAAUGCGAGUGCAUGAAUAUAUACAUAAGUGCAUGUAUGAAAUGCAUUGCCGGCGUUGGCAUAACAACAUGUAUGUACUUAUGUAUGAAAAUACAUGCACAUGUCAUGUAGGUAGAGCGAGUUAUUUUGCUGACUAAAAACCAUUUGGUGAACCAUGGCUCCAAUUUUCGCUGAAUGGUGAGAACAGCUUUUGGAAACAAUAACUCGUACCAGCUCAUGCCGCAUUCAGCGAAGUUAGUACGAUUGUUACGAUUGUAAUUAUAGCAAGUGUUUCCUUGAACGUCAGAUGCCGGGAUCUGUUUCAAUAUAAUAUAUAAGUAUAAUAUAAUAUAUAAAAGUAUGUGAAUGUCUCUCGUGCACAAUUUUUGCUUCUAAGAAUUUUAAUAAAUUCGUUUCAAAAAUGUCUUCAAGGAAAUAUAAUUGACAUUAGAUCAAAACUUUAAUAAAAAUUAAUAAAGCAUGUAAAUAUGUAUGAAUGCACAUAUGUAUUUAUAUGAAACAAAUGUUUGGGGUUUCAUUAUCAAUUUGUGAGCAAUAUCCCUUGUUUGCUGGGCCAGUGAGAAAACACAGUCGAGAAGCAACUGUGAGUGCUCAGUUGUAAGUGUGUGAGUAUCAGACAUGAAUUUGUGGCUUUGCGCAUUCACAUGCUAACGUAUGGAUCGGUUUGUAAGUGAGCUUGUUAAUGUGUUUCCGAUAUCAACAUCAGUAACCACAAUGCCCAACUUCUGCGACAAUAAGAUCAGAACAAAACGAAGUAAGCAAUAAUAAAAUAUCAAAAACUGCUGUUUAACGAACAGUGUCGUCUUUUAUGUACUAUUGAACGAAGGAAAGCCAAUUGGUCGGCAUUUGUUGAUUGAAACGGGAAAUCAUCGUGAUCCCACUCACAAGGCAAGAUCUGUUAAACGUUAUUAUUUUGUCAGACACGACGAAAGUAAAUUACAUACUCGUAUGUACAUACAUACAUACAUACGAUCGUUCAAAAGUAAUAAGCGAGUGACAAAAACACAUAAGCUUACGUAGAUUUAAGUAUGUAAAUAUGUAUGUAUGUGUUGAUACGAUCGUAAGUGAACUCCAGUUCGUGAUCGGGUGUGUAUGGUGAAUUUGAGAAAUAGACGAUCGUACAAUUUUAAAUAAGCAAGUAAUACUCACGUGGAUGAGUACAUUUAUUUAUUUAUGCACAGCAAUAGAAAUACAUUCAUUAUCACAUUAACACGAAUACAAUAUUUUACGAAGGCAAAGCUGGCCGAAUGACGCUUUUAAACACUUAAUUGUCAGAAAAAAAUAUUGCUAAUUUAAGCACACAGUCUUGUAUUUGAGUACGUACAUUUGCUAACACCGCAUACAAAGGGAGCGGAAAGAGUACGCUGUAAUAUAUGUACAUACAUAUACAUAUGUGUGUAAAGCACAUGAAGCUCACCAACCUGCUAGCAAAGGUUAGUUGAGCUCUCGAUCUCUUCUACCUCAUAACGUACUCGCUUGCUCCCUGAUUACUUUUCAUAGACUAUUCAUAUAAAUAUCCAUAUACACACACAUACACGCAGCACAUCUGCAUACAUUUGAACGGUUUAUUAAGAUAAGUAUCUGAACAAUAGAGGCCCCACACUCCUGAGCGCUAGUACCCGACCUCUUUCACGCUUAUUUCCCAUUCAAUUAGCUACAUACACGUUUAUUAGUAUGUAUGUGUGUAGUAAGUGACUGUCAGUGGCAGAGCCAUCAGUAACAUUCAUGAGUAAAAUGUUUAUACAUACAUACUUAUGUAUGUCGAUAUAUGGAGACAACGCCAACCAAGCAACAUUGAUGACAAUAUGUAUAAAUGUGUGUAUUACAAAUGGACGUAAAUACUCGUAUGUAUAUAUGGAUAGGUUAGUAAUGAAAUAAGCUCUUUAGGCCGCAGUCAUCAGUAGUUUUCGUUUUCGUUUUCAUUUAUUUUGUACUUGUAGUGAGUAUCGAGCGAGCGCCACCAGUAGAUCUAUCGGAGUCCGUGUUUGAAUCGUCGCCAUAGCUGGACCUGUUGACAGAGACACAAGCAAGUCUAGAACAAUCACUAUCGCUGAACCGUUUGAUUGUAUACGGAUUCUGCAGUUUCUCGCAAUCGACACAAUUUCUCCUCGAUCAUUUUUGUUUUGACCUCGUGUACGAACGACACGGUUGCGGUGGUGGUUGGAUUCAGCCAAAAGUUUUACUAAAAUGAUGGUCUCAUUUCGCUGUGCGAAGCAUUGCUUCGUUGUAUUAAAAUUGCUCCUUUAACGUGCGUAAUCGUUUCAUAGACGCUCACCGAAAACCCCAACUACUGACAAAAACAAAUCACACGCAGACUCUAGAUGAUAAAAGAUUGUUAGUGUAGCCUCAGUGAAUGUCCAUUUGUCGAUAUAUGUACAUAUGUACGAGUAUCUGGAGAAUGUGCGCCUAAUUAUUUUACACGCUAGUGUUUUUUCGUUUCAGGAGUCAAGAAUUUGAAAUACCCAGUUUGAUUAAUAAAUAAGUGCAUUUUAAUUCAAGCAACUCUGUUUAAAACUCUAACAAAUAUUACACGAUAAUAAAUACGUGUGUAUUUACAUUAAGUGAACAUUUAGUAGUUUGAGAAACUAGCGGAAACGACAAUUAAAUCACGCCCUUACUAACUGGCCGAGCUCAUAACGACAGUGUCAACAAUUCAACAGCAAAAAGUAAAAACAAUAACAACCAUGAAAUAAACAACAAAUGUGUGCAGAAGUGAACUUAUCAUAUUAACAAAUACAGUGUAGAAUAUAUUAUAAAAUACAUAGCUAAAAAAGUUAAACACACAUGAGCAGUGAACAAGAUUACGCUUAUAGCAUUGUAUAGACAAAUCACCAUUUUGACUAGCGUUUCUUCGCAGUGACGAAUUAUUAACAAAACGAAAAACCCAUUUCAGAAAGUAAUCGAGUGAUGAGCGAGUCGGAAUAAUUUCAAAACACCACAUUUUCGGAGAGCGUAGUCUGUUUAAUAUUUUCCACAAAUUAUCAUAUCAGUCUGAAAUAAGAAGUAAGAAAAAGAAGUAAAAACGCUACACAAUCUGAAAAAGUAAAAAAAAGUGCAAGUAAAUAAAUCUGAAUAUUCGGUGUAAUAUUGUCGGGCAUCGAACAAAAACAAAGAACCAUGAUGAAUUCAAGCAUUUGACUAGACGCGAUAAGCGUAACAACAGAAAGUGAGUAGUUAGAGUGCUGCGUGAUUAAACUGAUAAAUUGCUGCGAACGCGAACAGUGAGAAAUCCACACGAACAAUAAUACUUGAGAAUAAACUAUACAAACCGAGUUUUUAAAAUUUUCGAUCACGAAAACAAAACUUUGCCUUUCAAUAAAUGGAGAAGCCUAAUCACAAAGAACUCAGAUUCCAUUCCAAUGAGCACCAAGUGAGUUACAUGUAUCUGAUAAACAAAAUGCUGCUGAAAAUCGAGAAUACCCUACUUCGAAGCCAUCGUCAACGUGAGACAACAGGAAUAAAGGAGCUGUACAAUUCCUUUUUCGUGUUAUUUUAAACAUUUUAUCUGUGAAGCUUGCGAACUAUUUCAUUGAGAUAGCCUUCAGUGUCAAAGCAAAGUAUUUAGUCAACAUAGUAUAUUUGUUACUAGUGUGUUACAAAGCUAUAUUCAUAUUAUCGAUAUUAAGGAGUUAAAUAUAAAAUAAGAGAAAAAAUAAUAGAAAUUAGUGUAAAGCAGCAUCUGGUUAUUAGUAAAAUCAAAGUGUAAAUAGCAUCAAAUAGUAAAAAUAAAUGUUGCAAGAUUCUUGAACCUCAAACUCUUAAAAAUUUCAAAAAUAUGUGUUAAUAGAAUACACACUCUGAAACGCGCUACCCUUUUACUACGAUCAACUUCAUUAGAAAGAUCUAAAGACUUUCUUCGUUGUCUUCUAAAAUUUAAAACUAAUAUCGCGUCGGAAAGAAAUAAUAACAACGUAUGUAUAUGAAAACAUUUGUUCCGGGACUCUAUUAGUUAAUUUCGGUAGUCGAACAUAAAUAUUGCGUUUUAGCCGAGCGUGUGGGUGUGUUUUAAAAUUUUUGGCAUAUUUAUAAAACCGAAUGGCGCUUUCGCUGCUUUCGCAACAUCAGCAGCAGCCAAAUUAUUUCGAUUUGCAAACUUUAUUUGAUCCAUAUCCAUUACAACAACAUCAACAACAACAGCCCCAAUACCCCCAUAACUAUUACCAACAACAAGAUUUGCAACAUCAGCAGCAACAACAAUACAAUAACCAAUUGCAUAUACAGCAGCAGCUGCACCUACAACAUUUGUCGGCGCACAAAAACUCAGGAAUCAACGAUUCGACUUUAAAAACCGAUCCGACAACAGAACCAAUAAGUUUUUGUUCAGAUCAAAUGGAAUACGCCACCAGCAAUCUUCAGCAGAAUCAUUAUCAGCAGCAGCAAAGUAGAAAUAGUAACGAAAAUAUUAACAACACCAAUAUUAAUAGUAAUAGCAGUAUUGGCAAUAGCAAUAACAGAAAGACCAGCAACAUCACGCAUAAUAGCAACAAUAGUCAAAUAUUAAAUAAAACAAACCGUUAUUACGUGAAUGGCUAUUCACAACAUCAAGUAGCAUCAGAUUAUGUCAUCACUUUCGUAGAUUCUCCACCCAAUUCGGAGGAAUCGUGGACCGACGAGAACACAAAAGAAUCGCCUGGACCUCAAAUAAUCGACGUGCAGACAAUUUACUCAAACAGUGGAUCGCGAAAGAGACGAAUGGAUUGGGACUCAUUGGACAUUGGUCAAAGUGGAAACACAACUACUACACAGUCUGGAGGAUUAGCUUCUAAAAUUCCUCAUCACGAUAAAGACAAGGUCAAAAAGGAUAAAACGACAGUUCGCGGCAGUUGGACUGAAGAUAUUGGAUUUGAUUUGAAUACAGACUUCAAUAGUAAUUCUUAUCUCAGCAAUGAAUCCUUUUUAUCAUUCUCCCCGGCCCUGACAGUAUUAAAACAGGAGCCGCAAGCCGAUCAGUUAAAGGCUAAUAAAUGUCCAUUGAAUACUCAUCCUGUCGUAACUGGCAGUGGUGGAAGCGUGCCAAAACUCGAUAAGCCACCAUCACAUAUAGAAACGGCACCAACAAUCGAGGACACACCUAAGAAUGCCUUGAACGACAUUCUCUGCGUAUGUGGUUCGCCAAAAACCGGCACACCACAGGAAAUCGAACACAACGGAAACAAAAUUGACAAGUCCAACGCGGGAGCAUCCAAUGCAUUUGGUAAUGUUGGCUCACCUUACAGUGGCGGCGAAAAAAUAAUUGCACAAGGAAACUCAGCGUCCCAACAACUGACCGAAGUCGAUGGGAGCAAAAUUGAGAACAGUACUGGUGGAGGUGCCGCUAAUGGAAAUAAUACCAACGCGCACUCUGAUGACCAUAAAUUUCAGUACAUUUUGGCAGCUGCUACCUCAAUAGCCACCAAGAAUAAUGAAGAGACGCUUACCUAUCUGAACCAGGGACAAAGCUAUGAAAUCAAGCUUAAGAAGAUCGGUGAUUUAUCGUUUUAUCGUGAUAAAAUAUUGAAGAGUGUUAUCAAAAUCUGCUUCCAUGAGCGUCGCCUACAAUUUAUGGAACGUGAACAAAUGCAACAGUGGCAAGCUUCACGCCCUGGGGAACGAAUUAUUGAAGUAGACGUUCCACUGUCAUAUGGACUAUGUCAUGUAUCACAACCGUUAAAUCCGAACUUCUUGAAUACUGUCGAAAUUUUCUGGGAUCCUUUGAAGGAAGUAGGAGUUUACGUUAAAGUGAACUGCAUUUCAACUGAGUUUACCCCCAAAAAACAUGGAGGAGAAAAAGGAGUGCCAUUUCGAUUACAAAUUGAAACUUAUAUAGAAUCAACCAACCCUACCGGAGGAACAACAGCAUCAGCAAUAUCGGCUGGUGCUUUAUCAAUUGCAUCUACUUCGGUAUCAGGCGGGAUAGCAUCAGCACCUAUCCCGGCCGGAAUUAAUAUACCAUCGGGGAACAACCACUCGCUCGUAAAUGGCAAGCAACCCGUUCAUGCAGCAGCUUGCCAAAUCAAGGUAUUCAAGUUAAAAGGCGCUGAUCGUAAACAUAAGCAGGAUCGCGAGAAAAUUCAAAGGCGCCCUCAAGUAGAGCAAAACAAAUUCCAGCCAAGUUAUGAAUGCACUAUUAUGAACGACAUACCUCUGGAUGUAUUACCACCCACAACAUCGGGUUGCUUUAGCCCUGAAUAUAUGAAGAUUUGGCCCAAUUCACCGGUACACCUUCCCAAGUACGAUGGCAUAUUGCCGUACACUGGCGGAUCAGCUGUUACCAACUCCAGUCCCAUAGCCAUAAAUAGUGUUACUUCAACGAAUUCGCCAACGCUGAAACUAAUGGAAGCUAACAUGGUGUCGCCUCAGCAGUCGGUCACGCCAGACAUGGAUGACUACGCAAUCAACAUUUUACCAGAAUCCUCUCCAAGCCAAGUUGCGCAAUGGCUGAGCCACCAUAGAUUGACCUCUUACCUGUCAACCUUUGCACACUUUUCCGGUUCAGAUAUAAUGAGGAUGUCUAAAGAGGAUUUGGUGCAAAUAUGCGGGCUUGCCGAUGGAAUUCGCAUGUUUAACAUAUUACGCGCUAAAACUAUUGCACCGCGUCUAACACUUUAUGUAAGUUUGGAUGGCAAUAGCUACAAUGCCAUAUACUUGCUAUCGAACACUUCAAAGGAGCUAAUGCAGAAAUUGUGCAAACUGCCUGGAUUCUACGAGAUGAUUGCAAAUGGCAACACAAAUGGACCAUUAGAAAAUGGCUCAAUUUACAGUAGCUGGAGCAUGCACUCAAAAUAUUCCGGCAGUGGUUCAAAUAUUUUCAAUGAUAGCACUAAAAACUUUAUUUUUCUAGCAGGCCCUUCAGGCGUACAUGUAAACGUCACUGACGAGGUAUUAAAUAAUGAGGUGAGAGACGGAAGUCUUUAUGCCCUCGAAGUACAAAACGGUAAAGUUGUUAUGAAAUUGAUAAACAAAAAUGAUAAUUGAAGGCAUAUAAUUGUAAUGCACACAACCCCAUAGAUAUAUAUAAUUGAAUAUUCAUACAUACCUAUUUUCUUUGACUUGAUUCAACAACAAAUAUAUAGUAAUAUAACAAACACAAUAUUAUCAUAAGCCUUUAUUCAUAUAAAUAUGUACUAACAUAUUUUUGUGAAGUUCGAAGGAAAUCAAACGAAUUUUGUUUAUUACUGCAUAUUAGUUUUUAUAACGUAUUUUGAAAAUUAGCCAUAUUUAACCUAGCUUCAUAAAACGAACUUUUCCCAAGAUAUUUCUUUCCGACGAGCGCUACGUAAAUCAUAUUAUGCACAAUAGUAUAUCAACAUACAUACAUAUGUAUAUAUGUACACAUACAUAUAUACCUUGCAACUUAUUGUAUGUAUAAUAUGUGAAAAUAUGUUUUAUUUAUUCUUAGUAUUUUUUUUUUGCAUGCGUUACCUAUAAAGCAAGUUUAAACUUAAAAUAAAAGCGGGCCAAACACUAUCAUCACUUUUAUUGAGACACAAUUACUAACAACCAAAUAUGUUAAAUAUAAAAAAUUACCAAGAUUAUAAGCUUCAGCAUUGCUUAAAUGUACGCCGUUGUAGUCAAAACUAUAUUUUCAUACAUAUAUACAAACAUUCUUAAUUGUGUAUCUGUUAUAAUUUUAAAAUUACAUAAUAUUAAAAAAAUACGGCGAAGAAAUAAACAAACGGUCUGUAAACAAUGCUGUGUUUAAAUCUACGUUUUAAAAAGCGUAACUGUAAAAAAUCGGAAAAUUAAAGGCACUUUAAUCUUCUUUAAAAUCUAAACCAAAUAAUUUUUAAGUUUAUCAUUUAAUUUCAUUAAAGAUACUCUCUGAGUUUCAUUAAGGUACCUCACAAAUAUAUAAUAUAAGAAAUAAAAGCAACCGAAUGUGUUGAAAAUCAUAUUAGUUAUAAGGAUACUACUCACAUAUUUGUCGAUAUAUGCGGUAUAAAGUCAACCUGAAGUUUGAAAAUCUUUCUAUUAGGUAUAUGGAGGCUAAGGGAACUAUUGACCCGAUAUAUUCUAUAAAAAGUUAAGGAAAGUAUUGACGAGAAAAAAAUAUCUCUGAAUUUACAUAAUACAUCUCACAGAUUGAACGAUAUUUCGGGUAAAAAGUCAGUCACGGUUACUAGGGUCCACAUAUUCGUAAUCUGGGGCUCGAAAAGUUAUUAUCCGAUUUCAUCAAUUUUUUAUACUUAAGACCCUAAAUGCACUAUUUGUGCAAAGUUUUAAUUCGAAUGACAUUUAAUAUAUUAUAACUUAAGAAUUUGAAAUUGAUCGAGUAGGUCUUGAAAUAUACGUUUUUAUCUAAAUACGGGCGAAGCUACGUCCAUUGUGAAAUUAUUACCAGUUCCUAUAAAGCGCUUUCGUGCCAUCUCGGUUGAAAAAUGUAUACCCCUAUUACAGUUUUCAACUCCACUCAGUUGAAUUGAAGUAUUCAAAUUAAACACAUUUUUGGUAUUACGAACUUCAACUCUCUUCAGCCGAACUUUCAUUGCGGUUGCCAGCUGCUGAAAAUCUUUAAAAGGUAAAGAAAAAACAAUUCAAUUCCGUUAUUGCUCACGAAAAGGUGAAUAAUUAUUAAUAUCGACAUUAGUUUUGAUUUAUAUUACGAUGACAAAAAUGUAGGGGUCAAAACUGAUGUGCAGCGCAUACGAAAAAGCCUUCGUGGUCACUUAAAUCCAUUAUAUCUUCCGAACACCAAGUAAGCCGAUGUUUUAUUGACAGUUAAAUUACUUUUAAAUAUUGUUUGUUGCAGAUUUAAAAGUUAUUUUCGUUUAAACAGAGAAGCAUUUUGAUUUUGCUUAAUGAGAUGAAGGAAAAUUUCCACAAACUCUCCGUUUCCUUGUUGACGGUAGUUAUCAAAAAACAGUUUAAGUAAUUUAAACUUUGGACUGGCGCAAUCUAUGAUAUCUAUGGUUGCUAAUAGCUAUGUUUCAUGAAAUACUACGAUGAAAUAUGAUAGUAUUGUUACCAGCAAUGCUAAUAUUUGGUGGUACAUAUUUGGUUUUCGUUCGUAGUAUGGUAUUGUUACCACAUGUCUAUCACAGGCAUAAGGUGGUUUUAAAUAUUAUAAUCACCGUAUUUGUGCGCAGUGGUAUAAAACACAAAUGGCUUAAGAAGAGCAAAACGUUUCAAAAAUAUAAUUGUACUCAAAAAGUACAUAAAUAUUUUCCUAGGGAUAGUAGAUUGUAUUGACUCUUAAUGUUUGUAACAUUUCCCACGGCCAUUUAAUUUUUACCGUUUCGAAAUAGCGGCAUUUCUAGUCUAGUUUCGCGAUUGUUCUCAACGAACUCAACAAAUUGUUCGCCUUUCUAUAUACUCGUAUUUGUACAAAAGAAGCGAUAAAAAUAAAAAAAAAAUUGUUUGUUUUUACCCUUUUCAAUUUUCUGAUAAUUAAACUUUCAACUGCUUGGUAUAAAAAAGAAAAAUAAAUAUUUGUUUCCUUUAAAUGUAGAUAGAUAGAUAGAUAAAUGUAGGAGGAUGUGUGCUGUAAAAAAUCCUGCUUGCUGUCGCUGCAGAUUACAAUAUGAUGGUUAAUUGGUGUUCUGCUUGAAGUGGAAUUAUUUCCCUUAUUUCUGCUGCUUUUUUUUGGAUGUAACGAUCUUUCCUUUUCCUUUCUCAUCUUCCAUUAUUUUUAAUCGAUUUUUAUUUUGCGAAAGCUAUAUAACUUCGUGAAGCGGACGGAGGUCAAAUAGGCCUUUUAGUGCCACUGUUGAGCAUGUCUUAUUGUAGCCUGUUAUACAGGCGCACGCCCUUCUUUGGAGUUUUGCCAGUGCCGUUAUGGCUGAGUUUAGUUUUACUCUUUCCGACCAGGUAAUUGCUCCAUAAGUUAUUACCGUUUUUACUAUUCUAGUAUAAAUCCAGCGGAUUAUCUUGGAUGUACAUCCCUAUAUCUUUCCAGCUAUUCUUCUGCUUAUCAUCAAUGACCUUGUUGCUUUACUGAUCGCUUGGUCCAUGUGCCUUUUCCACGUUACUCUGGAAUCAAAAGUUACCCCUAGGUAUUUCGUUUCGAGAAGAGUUUCUAUUAUGCUAUUACUUAUUCGUAUAUUUUUCAUAUUUAUUUCAUGACUAUGUAAAUGGCACUAUAGCGGUCUUUGCAGGAAUUAUGCUUAGUCCUGCUUCCAAACACCAUUUCUUUGUUCUCUAUAUAUUGUGUUUUCGGAUUUUCCUACUGUUAUUAUUACGAUGUCAUCUGCAUAUCCUUGGGAUCUUAUGCCGUUAUUUGUCAGAAUAUCUAGCACAUCGUCUACGAGGUAGGGUAGUCCUUUUUGCCUGGUUUGGGGAUAAACAUGCUUUCUCUCAUGAUGUGGACCAGCACGGAAAUUAGUUGUUGUUCUCCAUUCUGUAGGAGUGCUGGCCAUAUUCCAUCUAUAACUGGUGAUGGUAUUUCUCAAAGGAGUUUACUGCUCACUGUAUCGUUCUGUAGCUAAUUGUCUUUUUAGAUAACGAUCAUGUAUCGGUUGUUGGGAUUGGAUAUUCCCUAUGACUGUUUAAGGUACUUGCUGUGGAGCCUGGAAAGUGUAUCUUGAGUAGAGUUAUCGCUCGUUCUAUUUCAUUCCUUGUGUAUUCGUUGUUUCCUAGCUUUAAUGCCAUUUUCCUUUUGUUGUAUCUUUUGCUAGGGCCUUAUGUAAUUUAGAUGCUUCUGGUAUCGAUGAUAUGCUUUCGCAGAAGAAGAAAUGUAAAAGUAACAGAAAACUUUCACGGGCCUCAUCUAGCACCAGCAGGUUUCUUUUCCCAACUCGCGCUAUUCGCCCUGAUAUAGUAAAAAUCUCAUAAUAAUAUUGAAUUAUUGUUGUUUUUUUUAAUAAAAACAAUUAUAUCAUUAAACAGAAAGUACAAAAUUAGCCUUCCCUUGUGACUCUCGACGCUCUAUCAAAAUAUAGACACAAUCAUUGUUCAACCAAUAUCACCAAAUUUGUCUAUUCAUAGAGAUAGCUUGAAAGAAGUAUCAAACAAUUUCAUGAAUAUCAAGAAAAUGAAUAUAAAUGUGUUGUUUAUUUUUAUUACCCCGGUAUUGGUGAGAUUUUAACAUAUAAAACCGAACUCAGGUAUCCACGAUUUGCCUCAAAAUUAUUUCGCAUAGUAUCAUUGCAGUACUUAUCAUGUGUUUUGAAGUUAAUAUUUUGGUCUCAUUGGUCUUUGUGGCUAUGAAUACUCGUAUGUAUAUAUAGCGACACCAACCCAUAUUCGGACAAGGGUUCACUCAAAGUAUAUGUUCCAUAUAAUGGAACAUGUUUACAUAUAUUAUAUUUAACGAUUUUUUUUCACAUUUAUUCAAAAUUCAAAGUUACUCCUCAUUGAUAAUUACAAAAACACAUAAUAUUAUUGAGCACACAUAAUUGAACAAAGCAAAAAGUUUCGGUAUUGUAUUCUCGCAACUUGUUGCAAAAGAUGAUAAAGUUUCGUUCACCUAACGAUUGUUUAUAGGAGUAUAUCUUAAAACUAAAAUAGUUAUAUAUUGUAUUAUGACCUAAAAUGCAAAACAACGUAUUGUCAAAAAAUUUAGUUUUUUAUUGAUUAAUAUUCGGUACAUAAUAUUACAUAUACGAAGUCUUAUUUUCUCAGACUGUGUGAAAAUGGAUGAAAUCAGAUGACCCACCCAUCCACUCCAUAUAAGGGUACGUUGAAAACUACUAAAAGUGCGAUAACUCACUAAUUAAAUUUCACAGCCAUAUGGUACUUAAAGCUUUCAUUAGAAUUCGUAUAAAAAAUGGAUAAAUGGCUUGGCACCCCCCACUUUUAGGUGAAAUCCUGCGAAAAUCGGAAGUACAAGCUCACUUUUAAGUCAAGUUGUAAAUUGCGUAUUAAAUAUUUAUUUACACCCGAACAAGGCUUUCCUUUCCUAAGUUUGAUAAGGACAGUUAGAACUUCUUUACGUAUACAUAAUGUGUAUAUUAGGAUGGGCCAAAACAUAAAAUUACUACACAAUAAUUUGUUCAAAUGCAUUAACCAUCCAAAGAAAAUAUAAAAAUAUUCCUGUGUUAUUUAUAUGGGAAAUCACAACUCACAAUGCACCACCUAUUGAUAUAAAUAUUAAGAGUUGAAACCUAACCAUAUUUUUUUCGACAGAUUUGACAAUAUUUUCACGGUUUCUAAUGAAAAAAUUGUAAAGUUAAAAAAGUUGUGCAAAAAACCCUAGUGUAUACCGUGCUUUCGAAAAGUAACGUUUUUCCUUUGCGUGAUCAAUUCAUGGACAAUUUUUUUUAUUUUUAUUUUUUUUUUUGCAAAUUAACAUAUGUUCAAUAGUGACCACUUUGACACGAACAAUUUGCUCAGUCUUUUUUCGAUCUUCUUAAUGUGACACGUUGUGCCGUGAAAAAGUGAGUGCACAGUAUAAGAAACGUUUUGAAGCACCCUUUCCAACGAAGCGUCUUUAAGAUCCCAAAUGGAUUAUUAAAAAAACUGCAAAAUAUUUAGGUCAAGUAAAAAGUUCGUUCGGUUUUUAUCUAAGAGAUGGCGUUAUUGUCCAUAGUACUAGUGUUACACGUCGCAUCAUGUCAUACUAUACGGCGCUGUAAACGUGUUUAUUCGCGCUAAAAGUUUGUCCGUUUGUUUGACAGUUUUUCGAUUGAUUUACUCAGUUCGUGUGAGCGCUCGUCAAAGAUGGACACCAACAAAGAGAAAAUUCGCUAUAUUUUAAAAUUUUUCUUCGAUCAAAGCGAAAAAGCAGCCAAAGCGGCUGAAAACAUUAAAUUAGUUUAUGGGCAGGAUACUGUAAACGAACGUGUAGCACAAAAGUGAUUUGCUAGGUUCCGUUCCGGUAAUUUCGAUGUCAAAGAUGCACCACGCGUCGGGAGGCCUGUCGUCGAAAAUUGCGAUAAAAUCAUGGAAAUAGUGGAAACAGACCGUCACGUGAGCACUUAUUUAAUUGCUGAGGAACUAAAGAUAAGCCAGAAAACCGUCUGGAACCAUUUGCAAAACCUUGGAUUCAAAAAGGAGCUCGAUGUUUGGGUGUCACACGAACUAACGCAAAAAACAUGAUGGACUGAAUUUCCAUCUGCAAAUCGCUGCAGAAUCGCAACAAAAUCGACCCGUUUCUGAAGCGGAUUGUGACUGGCGAUGAAAAAUGGGUCACUUAUGACAACAUCGAGCGCAAACGGUCGUGGUCAAAGCUCGGGGAAGCAGCCCAGACGAUGGCCAAACCGGAUUGACGGCCAGGAAGGUUUUGCUGUGUGUUUGGUGGGAUGGGCAAGGAAUCAUCUACUUCGAGCUGCCCCCCUAUGGCCAAACGCUCAAUUCGGCCCUCUACUGCCAACAACUGUACCGCUUGAAGGCAGCACUCAUCCAGAAGAGGCCAUCUUUGAUCAACAGAGGCCGAGUUGUGUUCCAUCAGGACAACGCCAGGCCACACACGUCUUUGGUGACUCGCCAGAAGAUCCUGGAGCUCGGAUGGGAGGUUCUAAUGCACCCACCUUAUAGUUCGGCUCUGGCACCAAGUGAUUACCAUCUUUUCCUCUCCAUGGCGAACGCGCUUAAUGGUGAGAAGCUGCCAUCUUGGCUCUCCGAGUUUUUUGGCAAUAGGGACGCAGUCUUCUACGAGAGGGGUAUAAUGAAGUUGGCAUCUCGUUGGGUUUUGAAGUGCUUCACGAAAACCUGAACACCGUUAGAAUGAUAUAAUUGUAUAAAAAGAGUUUUGUGAAGUCAACUGAAAUGGUUUACGGCAAAAAAUAACCAUAAUCCAAUAGAGAAUAUUUGGGCUUUAAUAAAAACCAAAAUAUCAAGAAAACAUUUAACGUCAACAAAACAUUUCAUUCGACUAUCUGGAGGUCACUUACUAUGCAAUAUAAAAUAUAUGCAGAAAAUUAAUUCCAAGUUGCCAUGAAGGAUGUCAGACUAUAAAAGACAACGUGGGAGAUUGGAGUAUAGAAUAAAAGUCAGCUAUAAUAAAACAAUGUUUUUUUCUAUAAUUACAACAUUUUCCCAAUAUACGCUACCUACACUUUGGAAAACUAAAACGUUAUUUAUUGAACGCACUGUAUAUUUCUAUUUACUUAAAUACUUAUUAUUAUACUAAAUACAUUUACUAUACACAUGCAUAUAUGUAUAUUAUUGUGUUACAUGAAAAUAAUGUGAGAUGCAUUAAAGCACUAAUUACAUUUUAAUUAUGAAAGUCAAUGUUGAAAACAAUAUCAAUACACACUUCAACCAAUUUAAACGCCAAUGACAUCAUCGUAAAAAAACUAGUUACUUUUUAUGGUCUGUUUCUUUUAAAGAUAGAGAAUAAGAAAAUAGGGCAGACUCAAAUUUUGAAUACCUUUGUAAUUCCAAUUUAUUUUAAGUUUGUCAUUAACGAGUAAAGUAAAACUUAGCCCAUAAAUUCGGGCGGCAAUCGAACAUUAAAUACUUAUUGUAUAUUGCAAAUAUCAGUUUGAGUUAUCGUAUAACCAAAAAAGUAGGGCCCAAAAUUAGACUUAAAAUAUUAUAACCAAUUGUUACUAAGUUAUAUUGUAAUUGCUAAUUUCCCAACAAAUAAUGCAUGAGUAGCAGACGAUGUCAUUAGCAACAUUAUUAACCUACGUCAUUCCUUUGUAUAAAAGUCGGUUACAAUUCGCUUAUUAAACUAGUUUGCCUUGGAAUUAUGGACGACGCCAAAGGAAUUGUAUAUUCAUUUUAUAAAGUACAAUAUUUAUUUUUCAAGUUGUUAGGACUCUUCGAUUUGCCCGCGCACUACUCAUCAUUUUGGCAUUAUAUGUAUAAACUGUACUUUUGGCAUGUAGCGAUCUUUUGGAUGCUACUUUUCGAUAUCAGCAUGUGGAUUAAAAUAGUCGGCAACAUAUCGAAUCUGAACGAGAUAAUAAAAGUGUUUUAUCUUUGCUCAAUGGCUAUUGCGGUAAUGGCUAAAUUUGUGCGCAUUCGCUUAAAAAACAGUUCAUAUGUAGCAUUAUUCGCGCGUAUCCACGACGACGACCUGCUGCCGGUCAAUGUAUCUGAACUAGAGAAAUACACUCAAUCUUCACAUUUAAGCUGUAGAGUACGCAACAGUUACACGUAUCUUUCGUUAACAUCACUAUCGCUGAUUUUCAUUACGCAGAUUAUAUCGGAGCCUAGCGAACUACCUCUAUCUAUUUAUAUACCCAUAAGCGUGGAGAACUUUUGGUGCUAUUUAAUAGCAUAUUUGUUUCAGUUUAUUGGUUUAUCCCUAUGUUGUUUGCUUAAUAUAUCUUUCGAUUCUUUAAGUUCAUCAUUCUUCAUAUAUUUGAAAGGUCAGUUAGACAUUUUAGCAAAUCGGUUAGAAAAUAUCGGCACCAAUCUGUACGUGGAUGAUAAUAUGAUAAACCUACAGUUAAGAGAUUGCAUCCAACAGUAUGUAAAACUACGGAAUAUUACCGAAAUCAUGGAAGAGCUUCUAAGCAUUCCAAUGUCUGUACAAAUGAUCAGUUCGGUACUCGUACUUGUAGCUAAUUUUUACGCAAUGACGUUUCUAACCGACCCCAGUGAUUAUGUUACCUUCAUAAAAUUUCUAGUCUAUCAACUAUGUAUGUUAGCCCAAAUUUUUAUGCUGUGUUAUUUUGCAAAUGAAGUGUCGCUCAGAAGUGCAGAGCUAUCAUACUCUUUGUACUCGUCCGAAUGGACUCGGUGCAGUCAAACCAAUCGACGUAUGAUGUUAUUGAUGAUGGCACAGUUUGAUGUACCCAUUCGAAUCAAAACAAUAAAUCGUUGCUAUUCUUUCAAUUUGCCAGCUUUUACGUCGAUAGUCAAUUCCUCAUAUAGCUACUAUGCCCUGCUGAAGAAAAUGAAGGACUAAAUACAAUUCAAUAAAUUUGCAUGUAUGAAUGUCAAUAUAUAUGUAUAUACAAAUACAAAACUUAAAUAAAUUUUUGAAAAACU